GACGAACGCUGGCGGCGGGCUUAACACAUGCAAGUCGGACGCUCCGGUUUUGGCCGGGGCGUGGCGCACGGGUGCGUAACACGUAGGUAACCUGCCCUCGAGUGGGGAAUAACCCCGGGA
rnacentral:rRNA from 1 species